ACAUAACACCUGAUCCCGUACGAUCACCGAAGUUAAGCAACGGCGAGCCUGGUCAGUACCUAAAUGGGUGAACGCUU